rnacentral:rRNA from 1 species
UACAGAGGGUGCGAGCGUUAAUCGGAAUUACUGGGCGUAAAGCGUGCGUAGACGGUUAUUUAAGUCGGAUGUGAAAGCCCCGGGCUCAACCUAGGAAUUGCAUUCGAGACUGAAUAGCUAGGGUGCGGUAGAGGGAAGCGGAAUUUCCGGUGUAGCGGUGAAAUGCGUAGAUAUCGGAAGGAACAUCAGUGGCGAAAGCGGCUUCCUGGACCAGCAUCGACGUUCAGGCACGAAAGCGUGGGGAGCAAACAGG